rnacentral:rRNA from 1 species
GCAACAGCUCAAAUUUGAAAGCUGGCUUACGCCCGCAUUGUAAUUUGUAGAGGAUGCUUCGGGCGCGGCGCCGGUCUAAGUUCUUUGGAACAAGACGUCAUAGAGGGUGAGAAUCCCGUAAGUGACUGGUUGCCUGGGCUCAUGUGAAGCUCCUUCGACGAGUCGAGUUGUUUGGGAAUGCAGCUCAAAAUGGGUGGUGUACUUCAUCUAAAGCUAAAUAUUGGCCAGAGACCGAUAGCGCACAAGUAGAGUGAUCGAAAGAUGAAAAGCACUUUGGAAAGAGAGUUAAACAGUACGUGAAAUUGUUGAAAGGGAAGCGCUUGCAAUCAGACUUGCACUGCGUCGAUCAACCUGGGAUCUCCCCGGUGCACUCGGCGCCGUUCAGGCCAGCAUCAGUUUCGGCGGUUGGAUAAAGGCCUAGGGAACGUGGGUCGCCUCGGCGACCGUUAUAACCCUAGGUGCAAUGCAGCCUGCUGGGACUGAGGACCGCGCUUCGGCUAGGAUGCUGGCGUAAUGGUUGUAAGCGACCCGUCUUGAAACACGGACCAAGGAGUCUAACAUUUAUGCGAGUGUUUGGGUGUAAAACCCAUGCGCGGAAUGAAAGUGAACGGAGGUAAGAACCCUUAAGGGUGCAUUAUCGACCGAUCCUGAUGUCUUCGGAUGGAUUUGAGUAAGAGCAUAACUGUUGGGACCCGAAAGAUGGUGAACUAUGCCUGAAUAGGGUGAAGCCAGAGGAAACUCUGGUGGAGGCUCGCAGCGGUUCUGACGU